CGGCUCUCUCCCUUCCCAACUCGGAUCCCCUCCCCUGCACCACCGCCACCACCGUCGCUGCCGCCAGUUUCCCUCCGUCUCCUGGUGCCGAACGUCGACGCCAUCGGAGCUCCGUCUCCUCUCCGCUUCUCCGUCCCCAGAUUGAAGAUCGAAGUUCUACCGGAAAACAACGUCAAUGGGAUCUCUCAUCAUUGAGGUAUAUUGAGGGGUAUUGUUAGAAGGUAAUUCAAGAACCAUAUAAAAUUGAAGUAGAUAAUUCAAGUCCUAUAAAAUUGAAGUAGGUAAUUCUGAAUUGCUAUCAGAGUUGUUCAAACCACAGUUGUGGUCAAAUCUCAAGUCAUGAAGAAACGAAUGAGAGAUUUUGUCAGAGACUCAAUUACUUGGAGCAGAUGGGAGGCAAAUGGAAUCUUACCAGCUCAGCUCAACCUGAUAUGUGAAACUUGGUAUUUGGAUUUGGUAUCCUUUUUGCUAGGAUGAAGAUAAGCUUGCAUCUUGCUUUGGGCAACUACUUCUCCUCGUCUUCUAAGGGUCAUUUCGAGGUCUCAAAUCUGCUCCUUUAUCAAGAUCAUGUUAUCUCUCAAUUUGCCAAGCAAGUCCAACAGCCUGACAGACAUUUCCAACUCCACUUCCACCCAUUUGUUUUGUUGUGGAUUCACAAAGAUCUGGUUGCUGCUAGGCAAGCAAAGAAGCUCUUCAAUGCACCUGUACAGACCUUGGAUCCCUCUCAAUCCCUCGGAUAUCAUAUGGGCCGUUGAAGAGGAUUGAACUACAGAAGACUUGACUUUCUUCAACUCUUCUUCCACUUUGAGCAUGAAGGGAUGGUCUCCAGAAGGCAUGCUGGUGGAUCGGGCAUGGAAAGGCUGGAUUGUUUUCGUAGGAGUGUCAACCAUGUUUACAAUGCAAUCUUGGAAAGCCUUCGGCUUCUGACUGUUGCAAACAGGAUGGGAAGAUGUGACUGACCCUUGAACUCUCCCUACUUAUAGACCCAAUUGCAUAUUGCAGAUGGAGGCAAAUAGAAUCUUACCAGCUCAGCUGAACAUGAUAUGUGAAGCUUGGUAUUUGGAUCCGGUAUCCUCUUGUCCAAACAGGACGAAUAUGAGCUUGCAUCUUGCUGUGGGCAACUGUUUCUCCUUGUCUUCUGAGAGUCGUUUCAAGGUCUCUAAUCUGCUCCUUUAUAGAGUUUGUGCUAUCUCUCAAGGUGCCAAGCAAGUCCAACAGCCUGACAGAUACAUCCAACUCCACUUCCACCCAUUUCCUUUGUUGUGGAUUCGAGAAGAUCUGGUUGCUGCUCGGCAAGCAAAGAAGCUCUUCAAUGCACCUGUACAGACCUUGAAUUCCUCUCAAUCCCUCACAUAUCACAUGGGCAGUUGAAGAGGAUUGAACUACAGAAGACUUGACUUUCUGCAGUUCUUCUGCCACUCUGAGCAUGUAGGGAUGAUCUCUAGAAGGCAUGCUGGUGGAUCGGGCAUGGAAAGGCUGGAUCGGUGUCGCCGGAGAAUCAACCAUCUUUACAAUGUGAUCUUGGAUGGCCUUCAGUAUGUAUUAUCAGCAGAGUCGCACAAACUGGAUGGGAAGAUGUGACUGAUUCUUGAACUCUAUCUACUUAUAGACCCAAUUUCAUACAGCAGAUGGAGGCAAAUAGAAUCUCCCCAGCUCAGGUCAACAUGAUAUGUGAAGCUUGGCAUUUGGAUCUGCUAUCCUCUUGUCCAGACAGGUCUGACAUAUUUCUCUUUUUUUUAACUGUUUCCAGCUCAACAUGCAUGUGUUUGCUUGUGAUAAACUGUGCGUGGUGUUUGAAUCUGUAGCUCAUUCCAAACUACGUUAGUUUUGUAAUGAUAAACUUUGGGUAUUGGACUACCCUGAGAUGCGUGAGUCAUCUGUCUGCUUGUUUGCUUACACCUUGAAGAUAAGGUCAGUACUAAAUCCAUUAUUAAAUAUUCUAUACUGGUCACUUGGCACAUUGACAAAUAAUGCAAUAACCAGCAACCAGACAGGAAAUAUAAAAAAGAGUGGAAAAAACAAUAGAUAGCAGCAAAUACCACAUGUAGUUUGCAAAGUACGUCAUUAGCAAUCUUAUAAUUGUUAGGCUCAAAUAAUUUAGCAAUUUUAUAAUUAUUAUGAGUGUUAUAUGCUGGCCUGUCUCUCCAACAUAGUCAGAUAACACGUACACUGAAGAGUAAUAAUGACGAUAAGAGUCGGCUAAUCAAACCUGUACAUGUGUGUCACUGCUUUUCAUGAUGGAUCUUGUAAUGAUAUAUCUAAGCCAGUCGGUUGCUGCUUUUAUGAAUCAUACAUCUCGGGAUGUCAGACAGGCUUUUGAGUAUGCUUUUAUUUAAAAUGUAUGAAAUGUCGUAAGCCUGCCUGUGAUUUAACAUGAGUUCACCUGAUCAUGCACCCUUUUGUGGGCAAUCUAGAAAAAAAAGGUUUCUGUCAAUUUUUUUCUUCCUGUUUUUGAGUCAUGAACCUUCUCUUGCAUCAGUCUUGAAAAUUGUGUAUUCAUAAUUAUUAUCAGCCGUUGGUUCUGGUCAUUCUCUGCCUUCUUGUCAUAAUGAAUGUAAGCAUGCACCUUCGUGCUUUGAGCAGCUAUUUCACCUCAUCUUCUAAUGGUCAUUUUGGGGUCUCUUAUCUGCUCCUUUAUCAUGCUCUCUGUCAUGGUGCCAAGCAAGUCCAACAGCCUGACAGACAUCCAACUCCACUUCCACUGAUUUCUUUUGUUGUGGCUUCAAGAAGAUCUGAUUGCUGCUAUGCUAGCAAAAGAAGUUCCUUGCUGUACAAUGAGAUCUCCAAAAGGCUUCAGCAAGUACCAUCAGCUGUGGACUAGUAGAGCAAACAGGAUGGCUAUCUUUGAAUGACCCUUGAUUUCUCACUGCUUUUAGACCUUGUAUCCACUUCUCUAAACAGGUCUGACUUAUUUCUCCUUUUUAAAGUUAUUCCAUCUCCACAUGCAUAUGGUGGCUUGUGAUGGAACACCUCAUAAUCUUUAUUAUAUACAUGUUUUUCAUUUGAGUUUUAACACUUUAAACACAUUGGAUUCUUAA